AUGGAAUAGACAUCAUAAGGAGGUAUUAAGUGGUCAUGGAUUCAGCACAAGUGCACAUCACAAUCAACUUUGUUUGUGGAGAUAUCCAUCUAUGACUAAAGUGGGUGCCUUGGAACGUCACACUUCUAGACUACUUGAUAUAUCAGAGUCCAGAUGGUUUAACAGUUGUGUCAACUGGAGCAAAUGAAACUCUUCGCUUUCGGAAUGUAUUUGGGCCACCUAGCUUAUUUCUUCUACGUUGGAAGCUACGCUACUAUGAGUCAAACCCAGAGACGCUACGAGGAGUCAAACCCAGGGAAUGUUUUU